AAAAUUAGUGGGAAGAAAAGAUCUUGUUGAGCUUACUGACUCUAGUCUGGCACUGUAAGGAGACAUGAUAGGUGUAGCAUAAGUGGGAGAUGGCAACAUCGCCGAUGAAAUACCACUACUUUCAUCAUUCCUUACUCAUUCAGUUGGGCGGAGCGCGUACACCGAGGGCUUCAUGUCAGAGUGAAGCCUCGGCCGAUCGCCGAUGAUACUCCCGCGUGAUCCGAUUCGAGGACACUACCAGGCAAGGAGUUUGACUGGGGCGAUACAUCUGUCAAAGAAUAGAUGUCCUAAGGCCAGUUUAGCGAGGACAGAAAUCUCACGUAGAGCAAAAGGGCAAAAGCUGGCUUGAUUUCAAUGUUCAGUACGCAGAGAGACUGCGAAAGAGAAACGGCUUAUCGAUCCUUUUGGCUUGAAGAGGUUUUCAGAAAAGUUACCAGAGGGAUACUAGCUUGUGGCGGCCAAACGCUCAUAGCGACGUUACUUUCGAUGUCUGCUCUUCCUAUCAUUGCGAAGCAGAAUUCGCCAAGCGUCGGAUUGUUUACCUGGGGAACGUGAGCUGGAUUUAAACCGUCGUGAGAUAGAUUAGUUUUAUCCUACUGAUGACUAAUCAUUGCGAUAGUAAUCCUGCUCAGUACAAGAAGAACCGCAGGUUCCGACUUGAUUCACGCACUCGAUCGAGCGGCUGGUAGUGCGAAGUUAUCAUCCGUGGGAUUAUGCCUGAACGCCUCUAAUGCCAUAUCCUCUGUAGUCAAAGGUGGCAGUGAUAUCUCUAGAAGUCUCGUGAGUCGAAAGGCUCAAAACAAUGUGACACUACUAGGCGACCAGUCCACGAACCGGACAUCGCACAAGCCCGAUUUGCCGUACAGCGCCAUCGCCCGUCGUCGGGAUCUCACUGCUACGCCUAACAUGAGUUUCGCGAGUUCGAUAUCGAGACUCGGAAUCAUCUGUAGACGAUUUACCUGGCAGGGUGAUGUACUCGGUAGAGCAAUUACCAUGCUGCGAUCUGUUGAGACUCAGCCCUCGGCUUGGAGAUUC
rnacentral:ncRNA from 1 species